CUCCGCAAUGUGAGAAAUCGCGACGGGGGGAUCCCAAGUGCCAUUCUUAACGGGAUGGCUUUUCUUAAGUGUAAAAAGCUUUUGGAAUAAGAGCUGGGCAAGACCGGUGCCAGCCGCCGCGGUAACACCGGCAGCUCUAGUGGUAGCUGUUUUUAUUGGGCCUAAAGCGUUCGUAGCCGGUUUGAUAAGUCACUGGUGAAAUCCUGUAGCUUAACUGU
rnacentral:rRNA from 1 species